AUGGAUUUCAAGUGGGAAUUUAUGAUCAAGAGAGAUGCCGAAGGGUCCGUGAAGCACAAAGCAAAGCUAGUAGACAAAGAGUACAUGCAAGAGCAAAGUGUGGACUUCGAAAAAGUGUUCGUUUCCGUUGCAAGGAUGGAAUCGGUGAGAUUACACAUAGCUCUUGCGGCUCAGGAAUCAUGGAGCAUACAUCGCAUGGAUGUAAGAUCCGUGUUUUUGAACGGAGAGUUAGAAGGAGACGUUUAUGUGAACCAACCACCGGGAUUCAUGAAAGAGGGAGAAGAACACAAGGUAUUGAAGUUACACCAAACCUUGUACAGGCUACGACAAGACCCUUGGGCGUGGAACAUCAAACUUGAUCGGACGAUGAUUUCUCUUGGAUUUGAGAGAGCCCCACUAGAGUAUGUAAUGUACAAGAGAGGUGAAGGAAGGAAUCGUCUACUAGUUGGCAUCUACGUCGACGGCCUGUUGAUAACUGGAGCAUAUGAAGAGGUGAUUGCAAAGUUCAAAUUACAAAUGAAGGAGUUUUUCAAGAUGGAUGAUCUUGGUAUUUUGAGUUACUACUUCGGGAUGGAGGAACAUCAAAAGCCAGAGGAGAUCACACUAUGCCAAGUGGCAUAUGCAAGAAAGGUACUUGAAAGCCGUGGCAUGAAAGAUUGCAAUCACAUUGUCGCUUCAAUGGAAUCUCGUCUUGAGCUGAGCAAGAAGGAGAUGGUGAAACUACUUGGCUACAGUGGUAGUGACAAGGAAGGAAUUGUCGACGACCAUAAGAGUACCUCGGGCAUGGCUUAUUUCCUUGGUGGAAGCAUAGUAAGCUGGCUAUCACGAAAGCAUAAAAUGGUGACAUCAAGUGAAGUGGAGUAUCAAGGUGUGUGGCUAGUGAGGCUACACUCUGAUCUCAUGGAACGAGAUCCGGAACAAGUGGUGCUCAAUGUUGACAGUGAGUCUACAACGUUUCUAUGCGAGGAUCCAGUGCGGCAUGAUAGGAGUAAGCACAUUGAUACGAUGUAUCAUUACACCAAGGAUUGCGCGGAAGAAGGUAAGAUGAAGGUCAACUACGGUUGCACUGAUGAUCAGCUAGCGGACAUCCUAAGCAAGGGUUUGGAUCGACAUAAGUUCUUGGAAAUGCAAAAAAGGAUCGGCGCCGGAACAGUAACGUAA
rnacentral:rRNA from 1 species